rnacentral:tRNA from 1 species
GGUAUAGCUCAGGGGUAGAGUGCAUGCUUAGCAUGCAUGAGGUCGUGGGUUCAAUUCCCAGUACC